rnacentral:rRNA from 1 species
AUUGAACGCUGGCGGCAUGCUUUACACAUGCAAGUCGAACGGUAACAGGCCGCAAGGUGCUGACGAGUGGCGAACGGGUGAGUAAUGCAUCGGAACGUGCCCAGUCGUAGGGGAUAACGCAGCGAAAGCUGUGCUAAUACCGCAUACGAUCUAUGGAUGAAAGCGGGGGACCGUAAGGCCUCGCGCGAUUGGAGCGGCCGAUGUCAGAUUAGGUAGUUGGUGGGGUAAAGGCUCACCAAGCCGACGAUCUGUAGCUGGUCUGAGAGGACGACCAGCCACACUGGGACUGAGACACGGCCCAGACUCCUACGGGAGGCAGCAGUGGGGAAUUUUGGACAAUGGGCGCAAGCCUGAUCCAGCAAUGCCGCGUGCAGGAAGAAGGCCUUCGGGUUGUAAACUGCUUUUGUACGGAACGAAACGGACCGGGUUAAUACCCUGGGCUAAUGACGGUACCGUAAGAAUAAGCACCGGCUAACUACGUGCCAGCAGCCGCCGUAACAC